UGUGUGUGUGUGUAUGUAUGUGUAUACACACGUGUGUCUAAUUGUAGCAGGUCAGGGAGUUUCUCUCUUUCUCUCUCCUUUUGGGGGUUGUGGUGUUCCCUGUCUAGCCUUCUGUCCUUCUCUGGCCCCACCCCAGUGCAGGACUCCUGAUUCUCCUCAGCCUGACUUUCUUUGUGGUCAACUGCAAUAGGCUGCGCCCGAGGCCACAGGUAUCCUACCAUCUGGCCUUCUACCUGUGCUGUUGUGCCAUGGUCUUGAUGCUGUGGGCCGGAACUUUGUCCUUCCUCAACCAGGUGCGGAUGUGGAGCUACAGUUUGCCUACCAUGGAGCAGAGGCUCAGCUACUUCCGUUGGGCCUCGAGACACCACUCAUUGCAUUUGCAGCAGCAGACCAUUUUGGACAGGAACUUGGAGCCUGUCCAGAAGCUGUCUGAUAGAACCAGCUUUGUGAACUAUCAUGGGGCUCUCCAACAGAGGGACACUGCAACUUCUCAGGACACUGAUGAGUCUCCGCAGCCAGAUGCCUCCACCUCUGUCCCUGUGGCUCAGUUUUCAUCAGACCUCCCUUGAGGUGCCAUAUUUCCCCUGAGAGCAGGUUGCACCCUCGGGACAGGGGUGGCAAGCCCUGCUCCCCGCGGUAGGUCCUACUCCUUGCUGCCUGAGUCUUGGUAGGGACUCUUCUCUGGAAGUCCUCCAAUACUCUCAGCUGUGGCUGUGUCCCUCUGACCAGACUAUGGUUUGUGGUCCUGAGCAGUGGGAGUAGUGUGGCCCUUUUCAGAAAAUGAGCAAUGUUCCUGCCCCCCCUUAGACAUGACAUGUUCCAUAGUCACUCUUUAUCUUUUGGUCCAGCCAUACCAGAGACAUCCCCUUCAGGGGCCCUAGGUCUGCAGCCUAGCCUUGGGGCCAGAACCUGCCCUUCUGUGGACAGACUCCUUCCCAGGAAGUCAAGCUUUAAUUAACAUAUCACCCCUGCCCAACUCAAUUAAACUUGGUCCACAGUCCAAA